rnacentral:rRNA from 1 species
CGAGUGCCCCGAGCGUUAUCCGGAAUUAUUGGGCGUAAAGGGUGUGUAGGUGGUCGCAUUAGUCUCCUGUUAAAGCUCCCGGCUUAACCGGGAAAGUGCAGGGGAAACGGUACGACUAGAGGAUGUGAGAGGUUUGCGGAACUCAUGGUGUAGGGGUGAAAUCCGUUGAUAUCAUGGGGAACACCGAAAGCGAAGGCAGCAAACUGGCGCAUUCCUGACACUGAAACACGAAAGCGUGGGUAGCGAAUGGGAUUAGAUACCCCAGUAGUCCACGCCCUAAACGAUCUUCUUUAGCUAUUUGGAGUAUCGACCCUCUAAGUGGCGUAGCUAACGCGUUAAAAGAAGCGCCUGGGUAGUACGGCCGCAAGGCUA